AAAAAAUCCUUAAAUUAUAAAGUACAUAGUAAAAGGACAUGUUUUACAAAAAAAAAAAAAAAGUUUUAUGACCACACAGCACCACACAGAUUUUUUGGCAAAGAACACGAAUAAAACGCAAAUCACAAAGUAUGUUUUGUCAACUAACAGCAAGAACAAAACGCAAAAGACAGUUUAGUUGAAAGCAAAAUGUCAAUGUCAAGUCGAUGUCAAAUAAUGUAAACAUAUUAUUCAGAAAACAAUUUCUCUCGACAUUAACUAGUAUUUGAUCCGUGAUACAUAAACCAACCAAACAGUAACUAUACAAUUACAAUAUGAAUAUAAGCAUUAAAGAAAAAUUAGAAUACAUGAAACAUAUUAUUAUCACUGACUACCGACAAUUUAAAACACAUGCAUGAAUACCAUGUAGAAGUAGAACUUUUCUUCUCAUCAUGGUCUCAUGCCUAUCCAACCCGAGGCUGAGAAGCUCAAUCUGGGUCUUCAUCUGAGAAAGUGUUUGCCACACAAAAGCUUUAAAAUCAUUAAACUCACGCGAUAAAGUUGAAAUAUCGACAUGUGCUGGAACAGCUCCGGUAGAUGCCUUCUGCAGCUUCAGGUCAUAGUCGUUCAUACGUGUUUGGAAAAGCUUCUCGAGGCUUUCUAGACUAUUUAUAAGUUUCAGAUCCAUGAUGUGUGCAAGUAAAGUUUACGGCCAAAA